rnacentral:lncRNA from 1 species
AUGUGGGGGCAGGAAUGGGAUGGAGCCACUUCCUGUUUCUCCACACUCUGGAAAGUCCCUGUGUUCCCAAGCUGCAGGGGCACCUCCUCCCUGCCAGCCCUCCCGGGUCUGAUCCUCACCACACCACUUCUCCUUUCUCCACCCACUUCCCCGUGGACCGGCCUCGGCCCGCCCCUUCCCUCCGCCUCUGCCCUCUUUUCUCUCCAAGUCGGGCCCCUCCCAGGGUGGGGAGGGAAAAGUGAGGCGGUGGCAGCCUGGCCUGCGGAGCAUAGCUGUUGCCCCUCUGUCUCUCUCUGUCUCUCUCUGUCUCUGUCUGCCUCUCUGUCUCUGUCUGUGUGUCUCUCUGUCUCUUUCUCUGCCUUUGUCUCUCUGUCUCUGUCUCUCUCUGUCUCUGUCUGCCUCUCUGUCUCGCUCUCUGUCUCUGUGUGUCUCUCUGUCUCUUUCUCUGCCUUUGUCUCUCUGUCUCUGUCUCUCUCUGUCUCUGUCUCGCUCUCUGUCUCGCUCUCUGUCUGUGUCUCUCUGUCUCUUUCUCUGCCUUUGUCUCUCUGUCUCUGUCUCUCUGUCUCUCUCUGUCUCUGUCUGCCUCUCUGUCUCGCUCUCUGUCUGUCUCUCUGUCUCUUUCUCUGCCUUUGUCUCUCUGUCUCUGUCUCUCUGUCUCUCUCUGUCUCUGUCUGCCUCUCUGUCUCGCUCUCUGUCUCUGUGUGUCUCUCUGUCUCUUUCUCUGCCUUUGUCUCUCUGUCUCUGUCUCUCUCUGUCUCUCUCUGUCUCUGUCUGCCUCUCUGUCUCGCUCUCUGUCUGUCUCUCUGUCUCUUUCUCUGCCUUUGUCUCUCUGUCUCUGUCUCUCUGUCUCUGUCUGCCUCUCUGUCUCGCUCUCUGUCUCUGUGUGUCUCUCCGUCUCUUUCUCUGCCUUUGUCUCUCUGUCUCUGUCUCUCUGUCUCUCUCUGUCUCUGUCUGCCUCUCUGUCUCGCUCUCUGUCUCUGUGUGUCUCUCCAUCUCUUUCUCUGCCUUUGUCUCUCUGUCUCUGUCUCUCUCUGUCUCUGUCUGCCUCUCUGUCUCUGUGUCUCCUGCUGUCUCUGUGUCCCUCUGUCUCUGUGUCCCUCUGUUUCUCUAUCUCUCUGUCUCUGUCCGUUUCUGUGUCUCUGUCUCUGUGUCCCUGUCUCUCUGUUUCUCUAUGUCUGCCUUUGUCCUGGUUCCCUUCUUUACCCACCAGCCCCCUCCCGUGGCUGCCCUCACGUGUCAGCACCAUGCCUUCCCUGCGGCCAGGGCCACCUGCUCCCAGGUGUCCUCUGGCUGGUGCUGGCCGGAGUGUUCCCGGGCGAGCUCCCGGCUUAG